UGUGUGUGUGUGUGUGUGUAUACAAUCGUUAGGAUGUAGCCUUGCCUCUCAUUACACUUGUCUAAUUGCAUGGAAACUGUGAUAUUAUAGUUUCAAUUUGCGUAUUUUAGUAGCUUAUUUGCAGGACAUUCUCAAAUAUAUGUUCUCUUUCUCAUAUCAUUUUUCAUUUCUAUGUUAUUGCGUAGCAGCUGAUAUGUAGAUCAGCUCUGUAUUGGUUACUAUAGCAUAGAGCCAAAGAUUUUUUUUUUUGGGGCUUAGCUAGAAAUUUAGAUGAUUGUAGUGACA
rnacentral:misc_RNA from 1 species